rnacentral:tRNA from 1 species
AGGGCUGUAAAUACGUGUUGCUAACACGCUACC